UAGCAUUUAGAUUCGAAUCGAAUUCGAAUCGGAUUCUGAUUUGGACUAAUUUAGAACCAAUUUGAGCCAAAUUGGAUUUGGUCUUGAAGUGGGUUCGAAGUGUUUUAAUUGGGCUUGCUGUUGGGUGCCAAAAACCAGAGAAUCACAUGCCUAAGAGUCUCUCUCUUGGCGUGUGGAUUUAAAUCCAUGCGCAUGAGCCACAUGGCACAUGGAUGGAGUUGGCGCCACCUUUAGAUAAGGUCUAUCCUAUUUUUCUCCGUAACCUUUAUUCUACGAAUGUAUUUCAGAUGUCUUAGGAGGUGCCUAAGAGUCCUUCUGAGUAUUAAACUCAUCAUAGAAGAAUUAAGAAAAGGAUAAGGAUUAAAUCCAUGUGCCACCUCUUGGAAGCGCCCCUUUGAAAUUUCAAAUGGGGAGA
rnacentral:lncRNA from 1 species